GGUGGAUUAGUGGCGAACGGGUGAGUAACACGUGGGCAAUCUGCCCUUCACUCUGGGACAAGCCCUGGAAACGGGGUCUAAUACCGGAUAACACUCCUGCCUGCAUGGGCGGGGGUUAAAAGCUCCGGCGGUGAAGGAUGAGCCCGCGGCCUAUCAGCUUGUUGGUGGGGUAAUGGCCCACCAAGGCGACGACGGGUAGCCGGCCUGAGAGGGCGACCGGCCACACUGGGACUGAGACACGGCCCAGACUCCUACGGGAGGCAGCAGUGGGGAAUAUUGCACAAUGGGCGAAAGCCUGAUGCAGCGACGCCGCGUGAGGGAUGACGGCCUUCGGGUUGUAAACCUCUUUCAGCAGGGAAGAAGCGAAAGUGACGGUACCUGCAGAAGAAGCGCCGGCUAACUACGUGCCAGCAGCCGCGGUAAUACGUAGGGCGCAAGCGUUGUCCGGAAUUAUUGGGCGUAAAGAGCUCGUAGGCGGCUUGUCACGUCGGAUGUGAAAGCCCGAGGCUUAACCUCGGGUCUGCAUUCGAUACGGGCUAGCUAGAGUGUGGUAGGGGAGAUCGGAAUUCCUGGUGUAGCGGUGAAAUGCGCAUAUAUCAGGAGGAACACCGGUGGCGAAGGCGGAUCUCUGGGCCAUUACUGACGCUGAGGAGCGAAAGCGUGGGGAG
rnacentral:rRNA from 1 species